rnacentral:rRNA from 1 species
UGGGGAAUUUUGGACAAUGGGCGAAAGCCUGAUCCAGCAAUGCCGCGUGUGUGAAGAAGGCCUUCGGGUUGUAAAGCACUUUUGUCCGGAAAGAAAUCCUUGGCUCUAAUACAGUCGGGGGAUGACGGUACCGGAAGAAUAAGCACCGGCUAACUACGUGCCAGCAGCCGCGGUAAUACGUAGGGUGCAAGCGUUAAUCGGAAUUACUGGGCGUAAAGCGUGCGCAGGCGGUUUGCUAAGACCGAUGUGAAAUCCCCGGGCUCAACCUGGGAACUGCAUUGGUGACUGGCAGGCUAGAGUAUGGCAGAGGGGGGUAGAAUUCCACGUGUAGCAGUGAAAUGCGUAGAGAUGUGGAGGAAUACCGAUGGCGAAGGCAGCCCCCUGGGCCAAUACUGACGCUCAUGCACGAAAGCGUGGGGAGCAAACAGGAUUAGAUACCCUGGUAGUCCACGCCCUAAACGAUGUCAACUAGUUGUUGGGGAUUCAUUUCCUUAGUAACGUAGCUAACGCGUGAAGUUGACCGCCUGGGGAGUACGGUCGCAAGAUUAAAACUUAAAUGGAAUUGACGGGGUCAUAGCUGUUUCCU